AGGUUCGACAAAAGAACUUCAUCAGCCAAGGGAAUGCCACAGUCUGCGGGGAAGAAAACAUGGCUACAUCUGGAGAGAACUUAAAGAUCUUAAAGAUGACUGCAAAGUAAGAAAGCCCAGAUGGUCCUAUGAUGACUCAACAAUGGAUGACAAGGAAAACACAAGAACACCUUUUUAAGACGAGGUCCACUUUUGAGAACUUUGAGUGGAAAUCAUAGUGCUUCAUUUGUGGCGAAAAGUGCAGCCGUCAUAGAGACAAUAUAUCAAGAGGUUUUAGCAGAAAAGAAAUCAAAUUGUCGGAUCAGAAGAAGUUUGUGGAGCCUCUUCUUCACAAGGCAGUGUGUUGGUUACAUGACAAAAAUGCUACAAGGAAGCUUCUGAGAGGACCAUUACAAGAUGUCUAGCUGUUGCUUGUGACCUUAAUACACUUGUCACGUAAAACCCAUCCCCUAAACACAUGGGCUUAGGGAUACACCUCAACAACGAGUUUGGCAGCCGCCAUCUGAUUGAAGAUAUGUACUCUCUUGUUUAUUCCAUCUCAUAUCCAGAUCUUCGGUUGUUCUUGACAUCAGCAGCCCAACAGAACAUUGCAUCACACAAAAUAACAGACUCUGGUGGUAUUGUACCAGACAAUAUACUACCUAGAGACCAAAGGGGGAAGCUUGUAGUGGCAGUUGCUGAUAACUGGAAUCUGAAUGAGCGAACAGUUGAUGGUAAAAGGACGACUCCUGCGAUGACAAGCAUGUUGGUCAGCAGUGCGCCAGCCGAGUCAACGAGGAUUCCACGACUUCCGAAAGCAACAAGUAGGACGCUUGACAGUCAGUCGCUUCCUGGUUUACAGGAGUCGUUUUUCAGAGUUUGUAACUUGAAAACAUAAUUUGUUAUUUGCUUCAUUUGUAUUAGUAAAUACAAUGUAAAACCUCAUAAUUUACAACAUUUGUAAAUAACGUUUAUGAGUCUGUAUCAAGCACUAAUACCUGGUUAGAUUUGAUUGUUGAAU